UAGCGUAGGGGGCAAGCGUUGUCCGGAAUCAUUGGGCGUAAAGAGCGUGUAGGCGGCUCGAUAAGUCUGCUGUGAAAGUCCAGGGCUCAACCCUGGAAGGCCGGUGGAAACUGUCGGGCUAGAGUCCGGAAGAGGCGAGUGGAAUUCCCGGUGUAGCGGUGAAAUGCGCAGAUAUCGGGAGGAACACCAAUGGCGAAGGCAGCUCGCUGGGACGGUACUGACGCUGAGACGCGAAAGCGUGGGGAGCAAACAGGG
rnacentral:rRNA from 1 species